ACAAGCGAAAAUCGGGUUUGCUUUAGGCAUUACAUAGCCUUCAGAUUUGUCAUAAUAACUUUUAAAAUGUUCGCUUGUUCUUCUGCUAGCGACCAUGUAUUAAAAACCUUUCUCUCCAAUCCAUAGCAUUAAAUAGCUACAUUUCUCCUCCUCAGAUUUCACAUGGAGGGGACUGCUGAACAUUAAUUCGGUGUGUUGUUGAAACUUUCGCCAUGUGUCAGGGAGGUUAGAAGAGCCCUAGUCCAUUUGCGGUUUAGGCAGUCCCCAGGUGAAGGAAGUCUGUCCUACAGACAAACGGACUGCUAUAGAGAAAACAUUGUGUGGCUUCAGUGGUGCAUCAGCUUGAGUGUAGCAUUGACCAAGAGGCCUGUGGCCCCAUCAUCUUCAUGGAAACAAGACCCACAACCACACCCUACAGACGUUCAGAGCAAAGCUGCUGAAACACCACCAACGUGUGAUACACUUUAUGUCAGCCGUUAUUAAUGUCAGUCACAGAGAGAACUGACAGUGCACCAGAGACACUGGCCACAGUUUGGAAGCAGCUGCAGAGGACCAAAGGUGGGGUUUCCUUAUUUAGAGAAGCCUGUGAUUGUCUGAGUAUCAGAGAUUUUACAUCAGAGACCGUAGCAGAUGUGGAUCUUACCCAAACGUGCAGAUGAGCCCCACACUAUGCUGUCUGUAGAAUGAACAGAGCGGUAAUCGGC